rnacentral:rRNA from 1 species
UACGGAGGAUGCGAGCGUUAUCCGGAUUUAUUGGGUUUAAAGGGUGCGUAGGCGGUCCGGAAAGUCAGCGGUAAAAGCCCGGGGCUCAACCCCGGCCCGCCGUUGAAACUGGCUGUCUUGAGAUGUCGAGAGGUAUGCGGAAUGCGCAGUGUAGCGGUGAAAUGCUUAGAUAUUGCGCAGAACACCGAUUGCGAAGGCAGCUUACCAAACUAUAUCUGACGUUGAGGCACGAAAGCGUGGGGAGCAAACAGG